GCUGGCGGCGCGCUUAACACAUGCAAGUCGAGCGAGAACCAGUCCUUCGGGACUGGGGACAGCGGCGAACGGGUGAGUAACACGUGAGUAAUCCACCCUCGGUACCGGAAUAGCCCGGGGAAACUCGGAUUAAUGCCGGAUGGCCCAACAGCUCUUCGGGGCGGUUGGAAAAGGUAGCUUUGGCCUCCGACCGGGGACGAGCUCGCGGCGGAUUAGCUUGUUGGUGGGGUAACGGCCUACCAAGGCGACGAUCCGUAGCUGGUCUGAGAGGACGAUCAGCCACACUGGGACUGAGACACGGCCCAGACUCCUACGGGAGGCAGCAGUGGGGAAUCUUGCGCAAUGGGCGAAAGCCUGACGCAGCGACGCCGCGUGGGGGAAGAAGGCUUUCGGGUUGUAAACCCCUUUCAGGAAGGCCGAAGCUACUCGGGUUAAUAGCCCAGAGGGUGACGGUACUUCCAGAAGAAGCCCCGGCUAACUACGUGCCAGCAGCCGCGGUAAUACGUAGGGGGCAAGCGUUGUCCGGAUUUAUUGGGCGUAAAGAGCGUGUAGGCGGCCAUACAGGUCCGUUGUGAAAACUCGAGGCUCAACCUCGAGACGCCGAUGGAAACCGUAUGGCUAGAGUCCGGAAGAGGA
rnacentral:rRNA from 1 species